rnacentral:tRNA from 1 species
UCCCUGGUGGUCCAGUGGCUAAGACUCUACACUCCCAAUGCAGUGGUCCCAAGUUCAAUCCCUGGUCAGGGAA